rnacentral:rRNA from 1 species
CCUACGGGAGGCAGCAGUGGGGAAUAUUGGACAAUGGGGGGAACCCUGAUCCAGCGACGCCGCGUGAGUGAAGAAGUAUCUCGGUAUGUAAAGCUCUAUCAGCAGGGAAGAAAGAAAUGACGGUACCUGACUAAGAAGCCCCGGCUAACUACGUGCCAGCAGCCGCGGUAAUACGUAGGGGGCAAGCGUUAUCCGGAUUUACUGGGUGUAAAGGGAGCGUAGACGGCUGAGCAAGUCUGAAGUGAAAGGCGGGGGCCCAACCCCCGGACUGCUUUGGAAACUGUAUAGCUAGAGUGCAGGAGAGGUAAGUGGAAUUCCUAGUGUAGCGGUGAAAUGCAUAGAUAUUAGGAGGAACACCAGUGGCGAAGGCGGCUUACUGGACUGUAACUGACGUUGAGGCUCGAAAGCGUGGGGAGCAAACAGGAUUAGAUACCCCGGUAGUC